AGCUGAGUCCGCCUCCGCCGCGCCGCCGGGGCCCUCACACAGCUCCGACGACGCCCGGUGCCGUCCCCUUGCCCGGCGCUCCCCCUCCUCUCCGAUUCCUCCGCCACGAGAGCCAAGGCCGCCCGCCUCCGCCGCGCCGCAUCUGGCGCAUGCCUGGCUGCUCAGACGACCUCGCCGCUGUCGCGACGCACGGACGACCCAUCCCCCUCCCGCGGGUGAGGUGCCGGUUGGCGACCGGCGACCUCCCAGCCUGCGGAUCGACGGCGGCUCCCUUGCCCCAGCCCGACAGCAGCGACAGCGGCGAGCUCCCACCCGGCGGGUCGACGGCGGUUAGAUUCUCGGCAGCCAGCGCAAGUGGCGCCCCACACCCGGCCACCUCCCUGGGAGGCUCGACUGACACCGGCGCUCCGACCUCGCCUCCACGACCACGUAAGUCGUCCCUUUGCAUGGGAUCAUGCUGUGUUUCAAUUGACUCCGAUUCCCUUCAUCUUCGAUCACCGUGAAGCCACCAGUCAAGCUCAUCUGUUGUUUCCUUUCCGCUUGGUGGCCUGUGCCCUUGAACUGCUCGAUGAAAUGCCCCAAGGGCCCUGUUACCUGAUUUUGCAUUGGUUCACUGCAUCUGCAUGGUUUCAGGCUUAACAUACUGUCAGUCGCAAGGAGGCAGAAACCAAUGGUGAAGUUAGUCAUGAUUCAAGGCAGUGCACUUGGUGAUGGGUUGCCUGAUGGUUUGCCUCGACCUCCUUCCUUUUGUGGUGCUGCUCGUGCCUCCACAACUUCUCGUUGUCUCCACUGGUCGCUAGAGGAGAGGACACAAAAGGGUACAUGAGGGUGAGGGCGGUGAGCCACUGCUCGCUGCGCAUGCCAUUGCCGAGAUAUGCAAGAGUGCAUUGCAGUGCGAUGCAUGGUGUCACUGCAUGAGGCCAUUCAGGCACUUCAUUUAUGCAGGACCUAUAACUGUAAACAGUAUGCUGGAUCUGCCUGCGAUGAGCUGAAGCAUGUCAGGCAAGCAGUUGCCCCCUUGAUACUUGAUGAUAGACAGAAUCCUGAUACUUCUUGUUUGGAUCAGUAUGGCUUCCUAAUCUUUUUCUCAUAUAGUCAUAGCUAUGUGCAACUCUCAGUCUCAUUAAAUUUAUAUCAUCAAAUCCUGCUUUUGCCUUCUAUACUGAGAACAUGACAUUCUUUAGUAGAGCCAAUGUGCGCUUAAAUUUAUAACAGUCUUGAUCACAUUAAUAGUUUGCUUGCUUUUUUGCUCGGGGCGAUCACCAAUGUCAUGGAGUACCAGCUACCAGGCCAUCGAGAAGCAAAAGCUUAUAAAUAUUAUUAUCUACGACUAUUACGUGUCCGACCCUGAGGACGAGUGGACGCUGCAGGUGAACAGGGAGGCAUGUGAGCUCCAUCUCCUUCACUGCCUUUGCUACUAUAUCAUGUAUAUAUUCCUAUGCUUCAGCGGGUGUAGGAGCAGCAGUUCAUGAGAUAAGGUGACUGAGCCAGUUAAAUUAGAAGGGGGUGGGGAAAUGGGCCAUUAGUAGUUAUGUUCAUUGAUCAGUCUCCACUAUUCCUUUUGUUACUAUAAAAUCUUACUUAUCUAUUUAGGGUGGAAUUGUACAAGUUUAUUUAUUUGGAGAACAGGUUUGUGAAUUUUUUUGAAAAAUGUUAACUUUAUAAUUGAGACUAUUGAAGUAAUUCUCCCUGGCA